AUACUUACCUGGACGGGGUCAAUGGGCGAUCGAGAAGGCUCAUGGCCUAUAUCAAUGCCUCACAUUGCACUUUGUGGGUGGGUUGGUUUACCAUCUCCCCAAGCGGGAGAGUGAUUUGUGGCAGAGGGGGUACGCGUCCGCGCGGCCCCUA
rnacentral:snRNA from 1 species